UGAACGCUGGCGGCGUGCAUAACACAUGCAAGUCGAACGAGAAAUCCCGCCUUCGGGUGGGAGAGUAAAGUGGCGCACGGGUGAGUAACGCGUGGGUAACCUGCCCCUGAAUUCGGGAUAACUCCGCGAAAGCGGUGCUAAUACCGAAUGUCGUCACAGGGACCGUGGUCCCUGGGAUGAAAGGUGACCUCUCCAUGGAAGUUGCCGUUCGGGGAGGGGCUCGCGUACCAUUAGCUUGUUGGUGGGGUAAUGGCCUACCAAGGCUACGAUGGUUAGCUGGUCUGAGAGGAUGAUCAGCCACACUGGCACUGAAACACGGGCCAGACUCCUACGGGAGGCAGCAGUGAGGAAUUUUGCGCAAUGGGGGAAACCCUGACGCAGCAACGCCGCGUGAGUGAAGAAGGCUUUCGGGUCGUAAAGCUCUGUCAAGUGGGAAAAACGUCUUCCCGUUAACAGCGGGAAGGCCUGAUGGUACCACUGGAGGAAGCACCGGCUAACUCCGUGCCAGCAGCCGCGGUAAUACGGAGGGUGCAAGCGUUGUUCGGAAUUACUGGGCGUAAAGAGCGUGUAGGCGGCAAGGUAAGUCAGGCGUGAAAGCCCUGGGCUUAACCCGGGAAGUGCGUUUGAAACUGCCUCGCUCGAGUAUGGGAGAGGAGAGUGGAAUUCCCGGUGUAGAGGUGAAAUUCGUAGAUAUCGGGAGGAACACCCGUGGCGAAGGCGACUCUCUGGACCAAUACUGACGCUGAGACGCGAAAGCGUGGGGAGCAAACAGGAUUAGAUACCCUGGUAGUCCACGCCGUAAACGAUGAGCACUAGGUGUAGCGGGGUAUUGACCCCUGCUG
rnacentral:rRNA from 1 species